rnacentral:lncRNA from 1 species
AUGGGCCAACUAGAGCCCAUUGUUGGCAGCCCAUUUGAUGGCUGCCACCUCAUGCUAUGUGCAUGGAAGUGACUAGGGCCAGGUGGAAAUAAGAGAAGGGCCCUGCUGUUAGACCCUCCACGGGGGAAGCUGGGGGUGACACCUCACCCCGGCUGCAGUGGUUACCCCCGCUUAAGGACCUCUUCUAGCCCUUACCGUACUUCUCCUUCUUCUUGAGGGAGUUUUUGAACCAGAGAAGCCGGAGCAAGGACUGUUGCCGUUCAUUGCCGGAGUUCGGUAAGCCUUGAUCAUAUCAUUUUCCUGCUUUCACCUCCCCUGUUUUCAAAUAGAAUAGAGAAGGGACUCCACAGCUCCACAGCCAUUACCGGCUCUCAGGCGGGGGCGGCAGUCGGGCCGGAGUCCCGUUUCCCCUCUUUACCUUCUAUGGGGCAGAGUGUCUCGGUGAAGAGAAGAAGGGAGGAAAGAAAAGAAAGAAAGAGAGAAAGAAAGAAGAGAGGGAAGAUGGGCUCACCUGUGUGCGGUCGCCGGCGUCGUGGGGAACGGCCACAGACGUCGCAGGAGCCGCCGGCCUCGGCUCGGCCGCAGGCAGCAGGCUCGGCCUCAGGUGUCGCCGGCCGUGGCCCGGCCCUCCCAAGCUCGCCUUUCUUCCUUCACGAGAGAAGAAUAGAGAGAGGAAAGGGGAGGGCUUGGGAGCGAGAGGGGAUAUGGGAGGUUUGAGAAGGGAGACCAAAGAUAAGAAGAAGGAAGGAAAGAAAGAAAGAAAGAGAGAAAAAGAGGAAAAGGGGACUCAUCGAUUCGUCGUCGCGUGCGGUGGCCAUUGGCUUCGGCUGUGAGCGUCGCCGGCACGGGCAUCGGCCUCAGGCGUGGCCGAGGGUGCCGCGGGCUUGGCCGGGGAAGCCGAGAGCUCGGCCGCGAGCGCCGCCGAUCGCGGUCCGACCUCCCCGUGAGGAGGAGACCGUCGUCCUCCCUUCGCUGGAGAGGAGAGGAGAAGAGGAAGGGGAGAUCGGGAUGAAAGAGAAGAAGGGAGGAGAGGAAGCUUCGGGAAGGAGAAGAAAAGAAACAGAGAAGAAAGAAAAAGGAAAG